AAGCUAAUGGUCUUCAAGAGAACUAGGGAGUGGGCUCUGGCCAGAGAGGAAGACAGCCUCCGCAGGUUCCCCCAGACCUGCAGGUCCUAUUGGAGGGGGGAGUUAAACCUAUGUGGAGAGGCACCAAACUCAGUGGCAGCCAAUCAGGAUGAACCUAUUUGCAUAUGCCAUCUGAUUGGCUAACAUUGCGCUAAGAAAGGACUCAGGAAUCUCCUUGAUCUAAAAGAGGGGGAGCCAAAUCAGAUGCAGCUGGGAUCCUAACCCACCUCCUUGAGGAUUAUGGUGACCAAGGUUUGGAGAGAAUCAGAGAGCUGCUUGUAUCAUAGCUGCAUGUUUCUCGGUACUUUGAACAUCUGUCAUAGCUGGCUGUUGUUAUACAUGGUGCAAGACAGCCCGCCCAGAAUAUCACCACAUUGCAACAAAUGGAGGCUGAGGUGAGACUUUAAAAAUACAUCU